CGUUUCUUUCAUUUCAUUUUAUGUGCGACGUAUAAUUGGUAAAUGAAUUUCGAUUGAACGAAUUGUGACGAGUAACAAGUAACAACGAAUCUAACCGAACAUUAUCGAACAUUUCCGAACAGAUCGAAACGAAAAUAACCAAUUUCACUGAGAAAGUUCGUCGCUAUUGCCGUUCUAGCGAUUCUAAUGAUUUUGGCCUCUACAGUGAACUCCGUGCCAACGUCAAAGCCAGUAGCAGCUGGAGCCAUAACGCCAUAUCCCAUACCUCAAAGACCACCAUAUGCACCAAAUCCAUGGGAUUAUCCAAGACCAUUCCCAACGCAGUCGUCUGAUCGCCGUUCAUAGAAAAAAAAAAAAGAAAAAAAAGAAGAAGAAAAGAUAAGAAAAAGAAAUCUAAAACAAAAUUAAAAAAUAAAUAAAUAAAUAAUGACAUAGACAAAUUAGCAGACAGAUAAUAUUUGAUUAAGCGAAAGAUAAAAUUUACAAGAGGACGAGAAACCUAUGAUUAGAACUGAAUGAAAAUAUUAGCUUUUUGUUGAACGUAAACGUAACAGGAUGAAUCAACGAGUUCUCAAGGUUUCCUCAAGAUUGCAAAUUAGCGUUUAAAUUAUCGGCUUCUUAUCUUGUAUAAUGUAAAUUAAUUUUUUUUCUUUUCUCCUUUAUCAUCAUAACUUAUAGAUCAUAUAUUUUAGUGACUCAAUCGAUCGUAAUUUCCAAAGAAUAGUUAAAUUAGAAAAUGGGAUAUCGCAAUGAUUCCUCAAUGCGAAUUCGUUGAGACCUUGAAAUAAAAUGUCAAUUUUACUUUAAAGUUGAAUAUCGAAAUGCUAUCAAUUU